UACGUAGGUGGCAAGCGUUGUCCGGAAUUACUGGGCGUAAAGCGCGUGUAGGCUGCUUCGCAAGUCGGGUGUGAAAGCCCUGGGCUCAACCUAGGAAGUGCACUCGAAACUGCGGAGCUGGAGUCCUGGAGAGGAAGGCGGAAUUCUCGGUGUAGAGGUGAAAUUCGUAGAUAUCGAGAGGAACACCGGUGGCGAAGGCGGCCUUCUGGACAGUGACUGACGCUGAGACGCGAAAGCGUGGGGAGCAAACAGG
rnacentral:rRNA from 1 species